UGCUUCUGUGGUGUGUGCUGUAUCCAGAGG
rnacentral:piRNA from 1 species